CGUUGUUGUCUUUCUUGGACGUUUCCUCCCUAAACUCGGCGGUGCCUCUGGCACCGCCUCUUUUUUUGCCCGC
rnacentral:sRNA from 1 species